UGUAAGCGUAUACCAAAGUUGUUGCAGUUAAAACGCUCGUAGUCGGAAUUUGGCAGUUCCGGAAGUGUGCACGUCGUGUGCGCACUUUGCGGGGACUGCUUUUGUUGUCUUGCGUAGGAUGAGGCACUUUCAUUAGUGAACGUCCUCACGCAACCACUCUUUACUGUGAGAAAAUCAGAGUGCUCAAAGCAGGCAUUUGCCGUGAAUGUAUUAGCAUGGAAUAAUAGAAUAGGACUCGGUUCUAUUUUGUUGGUUUGUUGGGACUGAGUAAUGAUUAAGAGGGACAGUUGGGGGCAUUUGUAUUCCGGCGCUAGAGGUGAAAUUCUUAGAUUGCCGGAAGACAAACUGCUGCGAAAGCGUCUGCCAAGGAUGUUUUCAUUGA
rnacentral:rRNA from 1 species